UUUUCUUUUUCUCUUCUUCCUUCUUCUUCUCGUCUUUUCUCUUCUGUUCUUCUUUCUUUCUCUCCAUCGAGCCUGGUUCGUAGAAUUUGAGUUUGUUUUCGUGUGGGUGAUCCUUAGAAAGAGUAGUAACUGGUGGAAUCGAGGAGGAAGGUGAUGACGCUGAAGUUGUUUAGUCACAGGAAGAAACAAGAAAGGUUACUCUUUAUCUAUAACGAACGAUUCAAAGGAUGAACCAGUGGAUUGAGAAAUACAAGGUAGGCGUGGCUUAUCAUCAAAUCAGUUUUCAGUUACCAGGAGAAAUGGAGCGCUCGAAGAUAUCCGUUCCUAGCUUAGAGUUUUAUCGAAAUUUAGUGUUGUUGUGUAUCUUUUAUUAUAAAUUUGCAUUAUUUCUUUAUUCUGUAAACAACACAUUAAUAUAUUCUUAACACUCGAAAUCCUUUUAUUUAUAUGAUAUCAGAGAAUGAUACCAGAGAGUUUGGGUUUUUGUUA